AGAAACAGCCACGCCACCCUGAACGCGCCCCAUCCCGUCUGAUCCCGGAAGCUAAGCAGGGUCGGGCCCGGUUGGCACCUGGAUGGGAGACCUCCUGGGAAGACCGGGUGCCGUAGGCG
rnacentral:rRNA from 1 species